ACCUUUAUGCUUGUCUCUUUACUUCCUUUCUAAUUCAUGUAGUGCAAUAACCAAAUUGUGCUUUUGCUUCUGCUUGUGGGAGUGAUAUAAUAUGACAUUAGGCUUUAUAUUAAAGUCCCUAAUGAAAUUAUCCUUGCUUCUUGAUGAAUCCAU